UACGUAGGGUGCAAGCGUUAAUCGGAAUUACUGGGCGUAAAGCGUGCGCAGGCGGUGAUGUAAGUCAGAUGUGAAAUCCCCGGGCUCAACCUGGGAACUGCAUUUGUGACUGCAUCGCUGGAGUGCGGCAGAGGGGGAUGGAAUUCCGCGUGUAGCAGUGAAAUGCGUAGAUAUCUGGAGGAACACCGGUGGCGAAGGCGGCAUCCUGGACCGGUAUUGACGCUGAGGCGCGAAAGCCAGGGGAGCAAACGGG
rnacentral:rRNA from 1 species